CAUCGGGCAAUGAAUCAAAGUCGUGUACUCAUUCAUCAGACUAUCACCCUUACCUCGCUAUGUUUUCUCGGACCAUAUUCGGAGCAUUGUCUUCCACUUUAUUAAGAAAUUCAUUUUCCAAUGCAAGCUCUCUUUUUAGCAACUGAACGUGAAUCAUCACCUCUUUUAUUAUGAUGAAAAUGCAAUGCAAUCAUAACCAAAAC
rnacentral:lncRNA from 1 species